AUUGAACGCUGGCGGCAUGCCUUACACAUGCAAGUCGAACGGCAGCACGGGAGCAAUCCUGGUGGCGAGUGGCGAACGGGUGAGUAAUAUAUCGGAACGUGCCCAGUCGUGGGGGAUAACGCAGCGAAAGCUGUGCUAAUACCGCAUACGAUCUAAGGAUGAAAGCGGGGGAUCGCAAGACCUCGCGCGAUUGGAGCGGCCGAUAUCAGAUUAGCUAGUUGGUGGGGUAAAGGCCCACCAAGGCGACGAACUGUAGCUGGUCUGCGAGGACGACCAGCCACACUGGAACUGAGCAACGGUCAAGACUCCUACGGGAGGCAGCAGUGGGGAAUUUUGGACAAUGGGCGCAAGCCUGAUCCAGCAAUGCCGCGUGCAGGAUGAAGGCCUUCGGGUUGUAAACUGCUUUUGUACGGAACGAAACGGCCCUUUCUAAUACAGGGGGCUAAUGACGGUACCGUAAGAAUAAGCACCGGCUAACUACGUGCCAGCAGCCGCCGUAAUAC
rnacentral:rRNA from 1 species